ACUCAAAUGAAUAGACGGGGGCCCGCACAAGCGGUGGAGCAUGUGGUUUAAUUCGACGCAACGCGAAGAACCUUACCAGGGUUUGACAUCCCCUGACCGCGCAUGAAAGUGCGUUUUCUAGCUUCGGUUAGACAGGGAGACAGGUGGUGCAUGGUUGUCGUCAGCUCGUGUCGUGAGAUGUUGGGUUAAGUCCCGCAACGAGCGCAACCCCUACGUUUAGUUGCUAACAGGUGAAGCUGAGCACUCUAGAGGAACUGCCGUUGACAAAACGGAGGAAGGUGGGGAUGACGUCAAAUCAUCAUGCCCCUUAUGUCCUGGGCUACACACGUGCUACAAUGGCCGGUACAAAGGGCAGCGAAGUCGCGAGGCGGAGCUAAUCCCAAAAAGCCGGUCCCAGUUCGGAUUGCAGGCUGCAAUUCGCCUGCAUGAAGUCGGAAUCGCUAGUAAUCGCAGGUCAGCAUACUGCGGUGAAUACGUUCCCGGGCCUUGUACACACCGCCCGU
rnacentral:rRNA from 1 species